CUACUUACUUGCUGUGCUUCUCUGAGUGCCUCGUGGCCUCUUUAUCACCACCUGUUGAAGGAAAUGUUAGAUCCAGAUAUGGAUGGAAGGCCUUCUCCUUAUUGUCUCUGUGCAAAACUGGGGGGAAGCUGGACCUUGUACGUGGUGACUCAGAGCUCUGAGAGCAAGUGACCUAGCCUGGAAGUCACAUAGCAUCAUAUCUGCUAUAAUCUAUUUUUCAAAACUGUCACAAUGCCUAUCAAAAUACCAAUGACAUUCUUUACAGAAAUAGGAAAAACAAUCCUAAAAUCUCUGUGGAAUUACAAAAGAUAGAGCCAAGAAAUCCUGAGGGAAAAGAACAAAGUUGCAGGUAUCACAUUAGCACGCCUCAAAAUAUACCAUAAAGCUGUAGUAACCAAAACAGCAUGUUACUGGAAUAAACACAAACACAUAGACCAAUGGAACAGAAUAGAGAACCCAGAAAUUAACCUACAUAUCUGCAGCCAACUGAUUUUUGACAAAGGUGCCGAGAACAAUCAUUGGGGAAAGGACACCCUCUUCAGUAAAUGAUGCUGGGAAAACUGGAUAGUCAUACUCAAAAGAAUAAACCUAGACCCCCACCUCUUGCCCUAUACAAAAAUUAACCGAAAAUGCAUCUAAACCUAACUGUAAGACGAAAGACUAUAAAACUACUAAAAGAAAACAUAAGGGAAAUGCUUCAGAACAUUGGUUUGAGAAAGGAUUUUAUGAAUAAGACCUCAAAGGCACUAACAACAAAAGCAACAAUAAACAAAUGGGAGUAUAUGAAACUAAAAUGUUUCCAUAUAGCCAAGGAAACAAUCGACAGAGUGAAUAGACAACCUACAGAAUGGGAGAAAAUAUUUGCAAACUACUCAUCCAAUGGGGGAUUCACAUCCAGAAUGUAUGAGGAACUCAAACAUCUCAACAGCAAAAAACAAUCCAAUUUAACAAUGAGCAAAUGAUCUGAACAGACAUUUCUCAAAAGAAGAUACACAUAAGGCAAAGAAAUAUAUGAAAGUGCUCGGCAUCAAUAAUCGUCAAGGAAAUGCAAAUCAAAACCACAAUGAAGUAUCAUCUCAUUCCAGUUAGUAUGGCUAUUAUAAAAAAGAUAAAAAAUAACAGAUGCUGGCGAAGAUGUAGAGAAAAGGGAAUUUUAUAUACUGUAAGUGGAAAUGUAAACUCAUACAUAGUACAACCACUAUGGAGAACAGUGUGGAGGUUCCUCAAAAAACUACAAAUACAACUACCAUAUGACCCAGCAAUCCCACUACUGGACAUUUAUCCAAAAAAGGAAAUCAGUAUAUGGAAGAGACAACUGCCUCCCAAUGUUUAUUGUAACACUGUUCACAAUAGUCAAGAAAUGGAAUCAACCUAGGUAUUCAACAACAGAUGUAUAGAUAGAGAAAAUGUGGUGAAUAUACUCAGCGGAGUACUAUUCAGCCAUAAAAAGAAUUAAGUCCUGUCAUUUAUGGCAAUAUGGAUGGAACUGGGGGACAUUAUGUUACGUGAAAUAAGCCAGGAACAGAAAAUUAAACUCUGCAUGUUCUCACUCAUAUGUGGAAGCUAAAAAAAAGUUUAUCCCAUAGAAGUAAAAGUGCCUUAUUAACUAUUUAUGUGAUUAUUUUUAAUAAAAUGUUUUAUUUGUAAGUUUUACACCUAUA
rnacentral:lncRNA from 1 species